GGGGCUGUAGCUCAGCUGGGAGAGCGUCGCGUUCGCAAUGCGAAGGUCUGGGGUUCGAUCCCCCACAGCUCCACCA
rnacentral:tRNA from 2 species